UUUUUAACUCUCUCACUCUCUCACAGAUACAUCACAUUUAACAUAUAUCAAAUAUCCUAAAUUCACGCCUAAUCUAUAGCUUCGUCCACGAUAAAAAAAAAAUCAAUUUCAGUCCAUCUAUUACUCAAUUUCAAGCUUCUAAGUAAGGUAUAUUCAAGUUUUUUCUUAUCUGGAAUCUCACUUCAUUCUCACUCCUUCGAUUUCCUCUGUUUUCUUCUGUAACUUUUUAUUUUUUUUAAUCAUAUUGUUCACUAAUAGAUAUGGAAUUCGCUCCGUCUUUUAGUGUUGGUCUCACACAAUUGAAUAAAAAUCAAGAAAUUCUUGUUUCACCGGAUUCUGAUUCAUCUUGAGAAGGUUACGACGAGGUUAGAUCCAAACAUCGUAACGAUCCAGCAAUGAUGGAUAAGCUAUGUGAGAAAUUGAAGUCGAAAUCUCCAGUGCAACAUGCACCCAAAGAAGCAAAGAAGAAGAUUGAAGGGGUUACAACACGCCAUAAUCUCCCAAAGGAAUGAAGUACGUCAUCAAAAAGAUUUCUUCACACUUCUUGAGAUUCAGCACUGCAUAUACGGCUAAUUUUAUUGAUGAUUUCAAAUCAUCAAUAGGUGAAGAAGCUAUACAGACUGUUUUUGGCUAUUCAAUAAUUUAGCAGACUUUUAAGUCUCUCUCAUGUAUCAAACUCGAAUAUCAAAUAAAAGUCUAUGUAUCAGAUUCUCAUUAUCAA